rnacentral:rRNA from 1 species
UACCAGCACCUCGAGUGGUCGGGACGAUUAUUGGGCCUAAAGCAUCCGUAGCCGGUUCUACAAGUCUUCCGUUAAAUCCACCUGCUUAACAGAUGGGCUGCGGAAGAUACUAUAGAGCUAGGAGGCGGGAGAGGCAAGCGGUACUCGAUGGGUAGGGGUAAAAUCCGUUGAUCCAUUGAAGACCACCAGUGGCGAAGGCGGCUUGCCAGAACGCGCUCGACGGUGAGGGAUGAAAGCUGGGGGAGCAAACCGG